GACGAACGCUGGCGGCGUGCCUAAUACAUGCAAGUCGAACGAGAGCGACCGGUGCUUGCACUGGUCAAUCUAGUGGCGAACGGGUGAGUAACACGUGGGUAACCUGCCCAUCAGAGGGGGAUAACAUCCGGAAACGGAUGCUAAAACCGCAUAGGUCUUCGAACCGCAUGGUUUGAAGAGGAAAAGAGGCGCAAGCUUCUGCUGAUGGAUGGACCCGCGGUGCAUUAGCUAGUUGGUGAGGUAACGGCUCACCAAGGCCGUGAUGCAUAGCCGACCUGAGAGGGUGAUCGGCCACAUUGGGACUGAGACACGGCCCAAACUCCUACGGGAGGCAGCAGUAGGGAAUCUUCCGCAAUGGACGCAAGCCUGACGGAGCAACGCCGCGUGAGUGAAGAAGGUUUUCGGAUCGUAAAACUCUGUUGUUAGAGAAGAACAAGUGCUAGAGUAACUGUUAGCGCCUUGACGGUAUCUAACCAGAAAGCCACGGCUAACUACGUG
rnacentral:rRNA from 1 species